rnacentral:rRNA from 1 species
GAGUUUGAUUCUGGCUCAGAGUGAACGCUGGCGGCGUGCCUAAUACAUGCAAGUCGAACGGAGAUUAAAGUAAGCUUGCUUAUUUUAAUCUUAGUGGCGCACGGGUGAGUAAUGUAUAGCUAAUCUGCCCUACACUAGAGGACAACAGUUGGAAACGACUGCUAAUACUCUAUACUCCUUCUUUACAUAAGUUAAGUCGGGAAAGUUUUUCGGUGUAGGAUGAGGCUAUAUCGUAUCAGCUAGUUGGUGAGGUAAUGGCUCACCAAGGCUAUGACGCGUAACUGGUCUGAGAGGAUGAUCAGUCACACUGGAACUGAGACACGGUCCAGACUCCUACGGGAGGCAGCAGUAGGGAAUAUUGCUCAAUGGGGGAAACCCUGAAGCAGCAACGCCGCGUGGAGGAUGACACUUUUCGGAGCGUAAACUCCUUUUCUUGGGAAAGA